rnacentral:misc_RNA from 1 species
AUUAAACAGCAAAUUAAUAUAAAUUGCAGGACAAAUUUGAGUAGUUUUCUCAUGAAGGCAUCAACAAAUUGUUCAUAAUUUCAGUUCCUACCCCUCUUGAAUACACUGCAAGAAACCGGUUCAGGUUUGCAAAAUGAUAUAGUAACUAGGAGAAAUAACUAAACACAAUCUCAAAAUCUGCACUAGAAAAUAAAACAUCUUGAAAAGUUUUUAAUUUUAUAUUUCCCUGAGAAUUUUACGAUCGACUCAUUUUACAUUCCACUACACAAGUAUCGGCUUGGAUUGUUUUUUUUUUUUAACAUAUAACACACCCAUAUCAGAGGAUUCGAUCUUGAAGAUCAGUUAUUAAGGUCGAUGCCAAUGAACUGAGUUUCUUCCCAGUCUCUCCAGCCAUAUUCUUGAGGGAAGAAAUAUCCUGUUGUGCCUGAAAGGGAUAGAGCAAAAGGAGAAGAGAUUUUAUCAAUAUAUAUAAAUAUAUUAUGUUUUUGCCUUUUUUUUCUUUUUACACGUGGCGCGGUGUACAAGAGGGAUAAAGAAAGACGGAAAGUAUUUUCGAAUUUAAAAUAUUAAAAACUCAAGCAAUCUUAAGCACCAAAUCAUGUUAAGUAUACCUGGAAAGAUAUCCGGUUAAUCAGAUCACUUGCAGCAAGAUCAAUGGAGUGAUCAUUGCUGUUACCAAAAAGAUCAGCACUGGAGAUUGCUGAGGAACUCUGUAAUGAACAUGAAGAUUACUAACCUUGGCCUUAAAGCAAAAGUUAUAAUAAAAAAUGAAAAGAAACUUUAUGAUCAUGCACAUAUAUCAAAAUACAAGUUUCUUUUGUAGGGUUAUGAUCUCUAUUAGUUAUGAACUGGUUGAUGACUACAACUAAAGCUGCUGGCUUAACUAGAUUUCCAUUGGUUCCAUUUCAGUCUGAAAUAUAGCCUUUUAGUUAGAGUGGAAUAACACCACGAGGAAUAUGAAUCCACAAAAGGAGUAAAGAGAUCCCCAGCAACAGCCCCAACCUAAACACAUGCUUAAUGGGAAUGGGUAAAGAAAGGGUAAAAGAAAGGAAGGAGUAUUUAGGAAUUUAUAAACAACAUCUAAAUGCUACCAGUUUUCCCAAAGAAGGUCAAAAUAAAUUAACAAAGAAAAAGAAUAUUAAAAACUAUCAAUAAGAACAUAUUACAGUUGAUAGCAUUGACAUACUGAGAAUUUCUGCAAGGAAACUUGAGCAUCAACAUCAGUGGCUUUGCUCUGAUCACCAAAGUACUGAGCUGAUGAGAUUGAUUUUGCAUUUGAGAACUUCUUCCUUGCUUCGUCUGUUUCCUGAAUCUGCACUUUUGAGGAAUUUGAGCUUGAUUUCCUCGGAAAUCCACUAUCCAUUCCAAAUUCUGCAAAGAAGCUUGAUGACUUUGGUGGAGAUACAUGGCUAAUCACUUGUGGACCUCCAGAAGUUAGUUCAGUAGAUUGGACAUUAUCCACAUAUUCAAAGCGAGAUCCAAAAGUUGUGCCACCUUUUGGAGUGUUGUUGUUAGUAGAAGAAGGGACAGGAAGAGCUGGUUCUUCAGGUUUCUGAUCAUACAGAUUUUCACUGGGCUUUGUAGUAAGCUUUCUGGCACCAAGGCCUCCAGUCUUCCCAGUUUUCUUUGCACCAAGAGGCUUCUUUACUGAACUGGCAAUAACUGGAUGAGAAGUUCUUAGGGAAUGAGAAACAUCAGAUGUUUCUUGCCUUCCUAGCGAACUUUCUUUAGGAGUAUCAUUGAUUUUGAGAUCAGCUAGUCCAUUAGAUGCUUGGGCUAACUGAGAAGUAACAGGUGAUGAUGGCAAGCCUGCAUCUUCUGCCAUACUUUUGGCAACUUCUUUUGAAAGUAUUUGCCUAUACAAAUCAGCAGCUCUAGAUGUAUACUUAGCCUCAAUUUUCCCGCCAUCAGUCCAUCCAUGUUGCUUGAAGAAAGCCUGUGCACGGUUGUUUCCCCCAAAGCUCAUCAUUCUCAAUUGCUCAGGGCUCCAUGAAUCUAAAUUAGUAGACCGGACGAAACUGAUGUGAACUCCAAGGCUGCGAUGAACAGCAGAGCAGUCGAUGCAAAGGAAGAUCCCAUACGUCACUGACGCCCAUGUAGGGUUUUUGGCAUUGCAAUCGAAGCACAUCUUGUUAUCGGAUUUCGCUUUGAGCUUUCUGAACACAGCAUUUUUGUCGGUAAAGUUUUCAGACGCCAUUGAUCGUGGUCACACACACAAAGUCUCCGAAGAGGUGAGGUUAUUGGCUCCAGCACCUCUUCAGGGAGAGGGAAACGCAGAGAGACGCCGAGAGAGAGAGAGAGAGAAUUCGAAUUCGCAAACAGAGAUGGCAGCUCGGGGUUAGAUUUGCGCUUGAUUUUAUUUUAAUUGAGUUUCAAAUUAAAAAUUUUAAAUAGGGAAAAGGAGAAUUGAUUUCCGAAAAUGCCCAUGAUUCGGUGAUUUGUUGCCUUCCACGGGGGUGGCGUUUUAGACCGAUGGUUAAUGGCUUAUGGCUUACCGACCGUCAAUUGGAAUGUGGUGUGCUGAGACGUUGAAGCUCGACCAAACAAACGGAAACAUCACUUUUCGUCCAUCCCAAUUUUUACCAAAAUGUUCCUUUUUUGUUAUUGUUUUUAAAUGCUUUUUUGAGGAUUUGGAUGUGCAC